rnacentral:lncRNA from 1 species
UUUGAAUUUAAUUUUUAUUCUUUCUCUUGUCAGAGGAAAAUAAAUUUAUAGAGAUCCACUGAAAUCCAGUGUAAAUUUCUUAAAAGAUGAACAACAGAAGGUUCAGUCAAUGUGAUUCAAAGCAUAGUUUGUCAAAAAGGUUAAAGGUUAAGGUGUAGAAUUGUGAGAGCUUGGAGGAGAGGUGGCAGUAAUUUAAAAAUAAUGCUGUAAAUAUCUUCAGACAAAGAGUGUGUGCAUAUAUAAUUUUGAAAUACUAGUAGACAACUAAGUAAAACAGGAUCGUACUAUAAUGUUCAUAAAAAUAUAGACUAUCCUCCAUAUUGUAAGUCCCACCUUAAAUAUUAUCCAUAGGUUCCAGCUUUCAGGUACUAUUUUUAUUUUACUAUAACCAUAGAAUAUUCCUCUAUAAGGACUACUUCGUACACAUUUGGGAAAUGAGCUGGUCUUGAAAUAAAACACUAUCUUUAUAUAUUUUGGUAAGGCAGCCACAACCUGGCGGACUAUAUUCAACAUCUGAAGGUGACCGGGCAUCCACAAUUAAGGGCUUUUGACUCCCCUGGCAGGCACAUUCACGUGCUCCCCCGGAUUGCAACACCGAUGAUAUUUCACUGAACACGCUCGUUCUUAGAUUAGAAAAUUCCUGGAGUCGUCGCAUAUCCAGCAUAAGGAGGUGAAACUAUCCAGAGGAGAAAACAAACUUACAAAAUGUAAUAUAUAUCUGAUGAAAAAAAUAAUGUUGGCUAACUACGGAAAAAUUUUGUCAUUUCAGACUUUAAAUUUAACCAAGUAGCAUCUUAGCCAUGAGGAAUUUACACAUUGUGGUGCUGAGAGAGAACACCUGCUCCUGGAUAUCAGCAUCUGUUCCAUAUUGCCCUGUGUGAAUUUCUGCACUUUCUGGUCCUUGGAUGAGGUCAGCCAACCACACUGUCAUUUGCUUAGAUGUCUGCUUUUCUGGAAUUCUCCAAUUGCUAGUCAACACAAUCUCUAUUUUCCUUGACCUGACUCUCAAGGAACUCAGAUAUACAGUUUCAUUUUUGGCUAUCCCUAGUCUUGUGGGCUUGUAAGAAACACAGAUGAUGUUCAAGACUGCAGAGACUCAGUAAAUUUCCUCAAGCCUUUUCUGCCUCAGCAAGUCAUGCCGGCAUCUCUACACUUCUGCUGCUACCACCGGCUGGCACACAUCAGGAAGAGCCCGCACCCUGCUUGUUCACUUUUCCGAGAAAGCGGAGUGCACAGCUCUGUUUAGAUUAUCUCAGCUAAAGCCUAAUCCAACCAAUGGCUCUCUGGAGAUGGGGCCAGGGCCAUCCAAUGUCCCUGUACAGAGAACCUCACUGUACUCUUCCCUCUGUAAUUUCUCGUCUUCUUCCCAACCUGUGGAAUUUUAAAUACAAUCUAGGUGGCUGGGGAGGAAAAAGCCUAGCUCUUACUAUAUAUUCUCUGUUUAUUGUUUAGACAGGGAAGCUUGGCUCUUGCUAUUCAAUAGAUACAUGUGAAAACUCAAAAAAAUUUUGUCUCAAUGACAUGGACUUGACUUUGAGGCUCAAAAGUCUACUUUAAAACAACAGCAACAAGUAUGCUCAGUAGAUUCCUUGUAUUACUACUGUAAGAACUCUACCCCGAGGGCAGUAAGUAUAAAACGUCUUGAGAAGUCCCUAAAUUUGAGAAGUGGGUGGGGAAAAGACAGAGGGAGCUAGAAAUGUUGGAAAUGCAAAGCACAGUAAGUCAUUAUAAUUUUAUUCCUCCGUGCAUGUAAAGUACUCGGAAUAAUGCCAACUAUGUAAAAAACACAGAUUUAUAUUAAAUCUGUAGGAAAUUAGCAGAGCAUAUAUUAUCAGGACUUUACAAGAUAGGGAAAUUGAAACACAAAGGUUUACUUAAUCACGAACAGUCUCAGGCAAGUGGGAGAGGCAUAACUAAAACAUACGCUCCCUAAUAAUUUUCUGUUUUCUUUCCAGGAUAUUGUGUGGCCUCAGGCAUUUGGGUAAAAGUAAGAGAUACUAAUUAGUCCUUCAUGUGUGCCAAGGCAGCAGUUCAUGUUUCUGUCAUUCUUUUAAACGAAUAGUAAACAGAUCUAAAAUAAAGAUACCAUUUUUGAGAUUUUUUUCUAGGUUAUAAGACUUUCCCUAACGCCAUGUCAAUUUUAACAAAUGGAUUCCUCUGCUAUAUAACAUGGAUAUUCCAUGAAUGUACAAGAGCAUAACACUUUCAGUAUGUAAGUAGGGUAUAGAGAAGUAACAUUUUGGAAAUGUUUUGGACACAUUUUGUGCGUAUUUCUAUAUAAGUCCAUAUGUCUAAUAAAGCUGGAAUUGAAAGGAGUCUAACAUUUUUAAGUGUAAAGAGGGAAAGUGUGUGCUAGUAAAUGACCCCACAUAAAGUUCCAGGAUAAAGAAUAAUGUAAUAAAAGAAGCAGUGUGAUUUUAGCUGUUCCACCAGACAAACUUUAUGUUGUUUGCUCUGUGAAAUUUCCUUAUAUAAUUUUUAAAGAGCCCAAGAAAAUAUAUAAUCAGUGAGAUGAUAGGUAGAUUUUACACUGGUUCACACUGAGGUUUUUAAAGAGCAUAAAGGAAUAUCCAAUUCAAUUUGGGCAAAAUAGGUGGCAAAAAAUGUCAAGUUCUCAACUUGCCUGAAGUUUGGUCAGCAUAUUUGACAGACCUGUACAAUUCAUUUUCAUCAGGA